rnacentral:rRNA from 1 species
AUACGGAGGAUGCGAGCGUUAUCCGGAUUCAUUGGGUAUAAAGGGUGCGUAGGCGGCCCCCCAAGUCAGCGGUGAAAUGUCCGGGCCCAACCCGGAGGGUGCCGUUGAUACUGCGGGGCUGGAGUACGGACGCCGGCGGAGGAAUGAGUGGGGUAGCGGCGAAAUGCAUAGAUAUCACUCAGAACACCGAUUGCGAAGGCCUCCGCCGAGGCCGUUACUGACGCUGAGGCACGAAAGCGUGGGGAUAGAACAGGAUUAGAUACCCUGGUAUUCCACGCCGUAAACGAUGAUGACUAACCGCCGGGCGGAAUGACGUCCGGCAGCCAAGCGAAAGCGAUAAGUCAUCCACCUGGGGAGUACGGCCGCAAGGCUGAAACUCAAAUGAAUUGGCGGGG